AUUACGUGCAGCAGGCGCGAAAACUUUGCAAUACACGAAAGUGUGACAGGGUCAUCCCGAGUGCCGACCGCUGAGGUUGGCUUUUACCCAGUCUAGAAAGCUGGGGGAAUAAGGAGAGGGCAAGUCUGGUGUCAGCCGCCGCGGUAAUACCAGCUCUCCGAGUGGUGUGGACGUUUAUUGGGCCUAAAGCAUCCGUAGCUGGCUGAACAAGUCCCCUGUUAAACCCACCGAUUUAAUCGUUGGUGUGCGGGGGAUACUGCUCGGCUAGGGGACGAGAGAGGCAGACGGUAUUCCCGGGGUAGGGGUGAAAUCCUAUAAUCCCGAGAAGACCACCAGUGGCGAAGGCUGUCUGCUAGAACGCGCCCGACGGUGAGGGAUGAAAGCUGGGGGAGCGAACCGGAUUAGAUACCCGGGUAGUCCCAGCUGUAAACGAUGCAGACUAGGUGUUUGGACGGCCACGUGCCGUUCUAGUGCCGCAGGGAAGCUGUUAAGUCUGCCGCCUGGGGAGUACGAUCGCAAGAUUGAAACUUAAAGGAAUUGGCGGGGGAGCACAAU
rnacentral:rRNA from 1 species